rnacentral:rRNA from 1 species
GGGGGGAAUAUUGGACAAUGGGGGCAACCCUGAUCCAGCCAUGCCGCGUGAGUGAUGAAGGCCCUAGGGUUGUAAAGCUCUUUUGUGCGGGAAGAUAAUGACGGUACCGCAAGAAUAAGCCCCGGCUAACUUCGUGCCAGCAGCCGCGGUAAUACGAAGGGGGCUAGCGUUGCUCGGAAUCACUGGGCGUAAAGGGUGCGUAGGCGGGUCUUUAAGUCAGGGGUGAAAUCCUGGAGCUCAACUCCAGAACUGCCUUUGAUACUGAAGAUCUUGAGUUCGGGAGAGGUGAGUGGAACUGCGAGUGUAGAGGUGAAAUUCGUAGAUAUUCGCAAGAACACCAGUGGCGAAGGCGGCUCACUGGCCCGAUACUGACGCUGAGGCACGAAAGCGUGGGGAGCAAACAGGAUUAGAUACCCUGGUAGUCUACGCCGUAAACGAUGAAUGCCAGCCGUUAGUGGGUUUACUCACUAGUGGCGCAGCUAACGCUUUAAGCAUUCCGCCUGGGGAGUACGGUCGCAAGA